CCUACGGGAGGCAGCAGUGGGGAAUAUUGCACAAUGGGGGAAACCCUGAUGCAGCGAAGUCGCGUGAGUGAAGACGUAAUUCGUUAUGUAAAGCUCUAUCAGCAGGGAAGAAAAUGACGGUACCUGAGUAAGUAGCCCCGGGUCACUACGUGCCAGCAGCCGCGGUAAUACGUAGGGGGCAAGCGUUAUCCGGAUUUACUGGGUGUAAAGGGAGCGUAGACGGCAGUGCAAGUCUGGAGUGAAAGGCGGGGGCUCAACCCCCGGAGUGCGCUGGAAACUGAACGGCUGGAGUGCAGAAGAGGUAAGUGGAAUGCCUGGUGUAGCGGUGAAAUGCGUAGAUAUUAGGAGGAACACCAGUUGCGAAGGCGGCUUACUGGCCUGUAACUGACGUUGAGGCUCGAAAGCGUGGGGAGCAAACAGGAUUAGAUACCCCUGUAGUC
rnacentral:rRNA from 1 species